ACUCCUACGGGAGGCAGCAGUGGGGAAUAUUGCACAAUGGGGAAAACCCUGAUGCAGCGACGCCGCGUGAACGAAGAAGGUAUUCGUAUCGUAAAGUUCUGUCCUAUGGGAAGAUAAUGACAGUACCAUAGAAGAAAGCUCCGGCUAAAUACGUGCCAGCAGCCGCGGUAAUACGUAUGGAGCGAGCGUUGUCCGGAAUUAUUGGGCGUAAAGGGUACGCAGGCGGUUUAAUAAGUCGAAUGUUAAAGAUCGGGGCUCAACCCGCU
rnacentral:rRNA from 1 species